rnacentral:rRNA from 1 species
UACGUAGGGGGCAAGCGUUGUCCGGAUUUAUUGGGCGUAAAGAGCGUGUAGGCGGUUUGGUAGGUCCGCUGUGAAAACUCGAGGCUCAACCUCGAGACGUCGGUUGAAACCAUCUGGCUAGAGUCCGGAAGAGGAGAGUGGAAUUCCCGGUGUAGCGGUGAAAUGCGCAGAUAUCGGGAAGAACACCCGUGGCGAAGGCGGCUCUCUGGGACGGUACUGACGCUGAGACGCGAAAGCGUGGGGAGCGAACAGG